rnacentral:ncRNA from 2 species
AUGUAUUUGAGUUUUCGACCGCUGCGGCCUUCGGGCAUACCCUGGCUGCGGUGGCGGAGGAAACAGUACGCGGGCGAGUGCCCGCGCCACAUGUUUCCCGAGGGUGCCGGCGGAAACGCUUGCGCCUCCCGUGCUUCGUGAGAAGCCUUUGGAAAGGAAACGCUCGCCGGAGUAU